UGCAGUCGUACGCUUCUUUUUCCACCGGAGCUUGCUCCACCGGAAAAAGAAGAGUGGCGAACGGGUGAGUAACACGUGGGUAACCUGCCCAUCAGAAGGGGAUAACACUUGGAAACAGGUGCUAAUACCGUAUAACAAUCGAAACCGCAUGGUUUUGAUUUGAAAGGCGCUUUCGGGUGUCGCUGAUGGAUGGACCCGCGGUGCAUUAGCUAGUUGGUGAGGUAACGGCUCACCAAGGCCACGAUGCAUAGCCGACCUGAGAGGGUGAUCGGCCACAUUGGGACUGAGACACGGCCCAAACUCCUACGGGAGGCAGCAGUAGGGAAUCUUCGGCAAUGGACGAAAGUCUGACCGAGCAACGCCGCGUGAGUGAAGAAGGUUUUCGGAUCGUAAAACUCUGUUGUUAGAGAAGAACAAGGAUGAGAGUAACUGUUCAUCCCUUGACGGUAUCUAACCAGAAAGCCACGGCUAACUACGUGCNCAGCACCGCGGUAAUA
rnacentral:rRNA from 1 species